CAGAGUAGAGCUUUUGCGUCAAGUGCCUUCGGAACGGGGAGUUGAACGAAGGACGAAGAUAUCCGCAAAUCAUUCAGCGGAUAUUGCGGUAAAUGCUCGCAUCCCGCUGU
rnacentral:ncRNA from 1 species